UUUGUUUUAUUUUAUUUUUGGAAGGAUUUGCGUAGAUUGGGAAUAGAAUUGAAAUAGAUGGAGACAUGAUUGAGAAAUAUUUUGAAGUUGUACUAUACCAAAUAUUUUUGUUUUUUUCAUAACAUGUAUACUGUAUAGUUUAUUUGAUCUCCUCAUUUACAUGAUGCACGACCUACAUGGCACGCGGGCGUGUGCGGGUGUGUGUCUUUCUCGUUCGUAUUGAGGCCUUAGUUGCCUCCGUAUUUUGUAGCUAAAUUUAUUUUCUUAUUGAAUGAAGUAGGUAGCAUGCUACAUUUUUCUCAAAAAAAAAGAAAUGUUAACUUUUGGCAGUCUCUUUACUCCUGCAGUAAUGAUUUAGAUUUUAAGACCCUAGAAUUGGAAAAUAUAUAAUGGAUGCAGUUUCUUCCAAGGCGCUAAUGAAGUUGAAAUUCAAAUUCAAAUAUACAAUGGGUUAAACACCUGACAUCCAUGUGGGGGAAAACUUCAUCCUAUGGAGAGACACUGAUUUUUUUUUUUUCGUCUUCGCCCUGUAUUUCAUCUCAUUAAAGGCCUUGUUGCCUCACCCAUAUAGCUAAGUUCAUAUUCUGAAUGAAUGAAACAAAUAACAUGCUAUUUUUUUCUCAAAAUAAAAAAAAUUCAAAUCAUUUUAAAAGCGCACAUAAGCAU
rnacentral:lncRNA from 1 species